GGGGAUUUAGCUCAGCGGCAUAAGCACCUGCCUUGCAAGCAGGCGGUCUGAGUUCAAUUCCCU
rfam:Cavia porcellus supercont2_6 genomic scaffold, whole genome shotgun sequence.